rnacentral:rRNA from 1 species
CUACGGGGUGCUGCAGUGAGGAGUUUUGCGCAAUGGGGGAAACCCUGACGCAGCAACGCCGCGUGAGCGAAGAAGGCCUUCGGGUCGUAAAGCUCUGUCAAGUGGGAAAAACGUUUUCCGGUAAAUAGUCGGGAGAUCUGAUGGUACCGCUGAAGGAAGCACCGGCUAACUCCGUGCCAGCAGCCGCGGUAAUACGGAGGGUGCAAGCGUUGUUCGGAAUUAUUGGGCGUAAAGAGCGUGUAGGCGGUUUGGUAAGUCAGAUGUGAAAGCCCUGGGCUUAACCCAGGAAGUGCAUUUGAAACUGCUUUACUUGAGUAUGGGAGAGGAGAGUGGAAUUCCUGGUGUAGAGGUGAAAUUCGUAGAUAUCAGGAGGAACAUCUGUGGCGAAGGCGACUCUCUGGACCAAUACUGACGCUGAGACGCGAAAGCGUGGGUAGCAAACAGGAUUAGAUACCCCGGUAGUC